GAAAGCCUAGCCUGAACAAGACUUCACACAGAAGAUGGUUACAAAAAUGACUCCAAAGGUGGCAGUAUCCUUUAGGCUGCAGGGAGAGAGGUAAUGUCUAAACCUUUCUUACACCUGGCUCAAAUGUCAGUGAUCAGGGAAGCCUGGGGCAGUGUUUCUUAUUAGGUUUCUGUAAUAUGACGCACACCCAGAUAAGUAAGCCACUCAUUUUUGUGUCUUGAGAGAAAGGUAGGGGGAAGUGUGGACAUGUCUGGUGGGGUUUCUGUCCUGUCCUUUUUCUCAGGAUAUGGGCUAAGAAGAGAAGACUGGCUACAGGGAAGCAAUGAUACAAGCUCAACUGUAGUCAAAAGUACUUCAGUAGGCAGUAGCUAUCCUGUGUGUACUACCUUAGAAUAAGUCUCUGAGAAGAUCUAUUUAUUUAUAAAAUCCAGCCUUCUACACAUCUUGAAAAGGAAGAUCAGAGGAUUAUACACACUGCUGGAGGCAAGGUAGAAAGAGUAGGAAAGAAGAUCCAGAAUGCAGCAGUCUUCACAAACCCUAUGUGAAAAAUAUACUUUGGACUGAAUAAUUGGGCAGAAGCAACAUGAACUAAUUUUCACUGGAAUGGCUGGAAAUGUAGUUGUGGCACUUCUCAGAACUGCUCUCUUACUGAAAAAAAACUGUUUGGAAUAUGAAGCCUUCCUGUGCUGUGACAGUAAGGUAAUGACUCUUAUACUCUAGAGCUCUUUGGGGCAGAGAGGUUUAUUAGGAAGACAGCACGGCAUCUUGUCUGUGAAGUGUAUGGAUUCUAUAUGAAAACAGCAAUUUAUCUUUACCUUCUAUCAGAAAUGCAAUGAGGCCAACAAAAACAAUUUUAUCUGUAAGUCUACUACGGGUGACACUAAUUAAGAAUGUUAGAUGUGUGAAUUUUGUAAUUCAGGUUGAACUGAUGUGAAAUUCUGAGCAUCAGGGUAAAAUUCCUUAAGUCCUGUAAACAAAAUAUGGAGAAAGAACUAUGCAAGUGAGUGUUUAAGACUGUACUUGCAAAAUGUGUUUAAAAACAUUAGAUGUUCUUACCUAAGAAACAUGUUAGCGUCAUAAUUGUGUAUUUUGAGUAAAAUGGUAUAAUUGUUUCACUAUCAUUAAUUCUCUUUCCAAUUCUUGAUUUUAUGUCCUUAUUUAAUACAUUUUUACAGACUUUUUAUUUGUUUGUUGUUUUUAAGGUAGUUGACCAGUUGAGAGUAAGGAAUCACAGUUUUUUUGGUGGAAUUAAAAUUUGUUUGCUGGAUCUUUCAUAAGAAGGCCAAAGUUGCCCAUGUAAGGAGGGAAAUAAAACUUUUCUUUGUAGUUUCAAUGACAAUGUUCAUGUGCAUUGGUUUUGUUUCCUGGAAAAUCUUACAUUGGCCAGGUAUGGACCUGUUGAUGUUGAGUAAAGUAAUUCUUUUUCAUUAUCCUUUCAUUUUGAGGUGAGGAGAAAAAAAUACAUUUUUAUAGCAUUAAAUUACAGUUGAGCAUGAUUGUUUACAUCUAUAUUUGUUUUCUUUAUUUAUAAUAUGUUUUUCUCUUGGUAUAAUUUGCCUUAUGUGCUGAGAUGUUAGGAAGAUGCUUUUACAGUAGUUAUAAAUCUUAUUUUAAUCCUAGAGAAGGGAAUGAAUAAGUAAUACCACAUCUGUCUCAACUUUUUAUAUACCCCCUGGUAUACCCCCUGGUACUGAGGACUUCCAUAAAAGGUUAGGCCCUUAUAUACAUCAAAGGUGUACUGGUGUGUUGUACUUUUAACCUUAUCUGUCUCUAGUACAGGAAUAGGUGUUUAGUAGUGAAAAUCAUGAGCAAACAUUUUGAAUGUUGCUCUGCAAGUGUUAGAUCUUUCUACUCAUUUGUGGAGCUGCUGUUUUUGUAUGUUCAGGGCCUUGGGCAUAGAUGUGCACCAAUUGAUCAGUGCUCCUAGGAGAGUGUGAAGAGGUAAACCAAGAAUUAAACAAAUUAAGAAGGUAAUCUUAGUGAAAUUCAUCAAAAAGCAGUAAUUCAUUACUACUCUCGACAAUAUUUGGUGGC
rnacentral:lncRNA from 1 species